GUGUCAGCAGCCGCGGUAAUACGGAGGGGGCGAGCGUUGUUCGGAUUUACUGGGCGUAAAGGGUGUGUAGGCGGCUGCGCAAGUCUGGUGUGAAAUCUUCACCGCUCAACGGGAAGCGUGCACUGGAAACUGCGCAGCUCGAGUAUGGUAGAGGCAAGCGGAAUUCCUGGUGUAGCGGUGGAAUGUGUAGAUAUCAGGAAGAACACCGGUGGCGAAGGCGGCUUGCUGGGCCAUCACUGACGCUGAGACACGAAAGCGUGGGGAGCAAACGGGAUUAGAUACCCCGGUAGUCCACGCUGUAAACGGUGCGCACUAGGUGUGAGGGGUAUCGACCCCCCUCGCGCCGCAGCCAACGCAUUAAGUGCGCCGCCUGGGGAGUACGGCCGCAAGGUUGAA
rnacentral:rRNA from 1 species